GAACGCUGGCGGCAUGCUUACACAUGCAAGUCGAACGGCAGCGCGGGGCAACCUGGCGGCGAGUGGCGAACGGGUGAGUAAUAUAUCGGAACGUACCCAAGAGUGGGGGAUAACGUAGCGAAAGUUACGCUAAUACCGCAUACGAUCCAAGGAUGAAAGCAGGGGACCUUCGGGCCUUGUGCUCCUGGAGCGGCCGAUAUCUGAUUAGCUAGUUGGUGAGGUAACGGCCCACCAAGGCGACGAUAGUUACCCGGCCUGAGAGGGUGAACGGGCACAUUGGGACUGAGAUACGGCCCAGACUCCUACGGGAGGCAGCAGCUAAGAAUAUUCCGCAAUGCACGAAAGUGUGACGGAGCGACGCCGCGUGGACGAUGAAGGCCGGAAGGUUGUAAAGUCCUUUUUAAUAUGAGGAAUAAGGAAGGUGAGAGAAACGCCUUCUGGUGACUGUAGUAUUAGAAUAAGGGGCGGCUAAUUACGUGCCAGCCGCCGC
rnacentral:rRNA from 1 species